rnacentral:rRNA from 1 species
GGAUUAGAUACCCUGGUAGUCCACGCUGUAAACGAUGAGUGCUAGGCGUUGCGGCCAUUGAUCGCUGCAGUGCCGAAGCUAACGCAUGAAGCACUCCGCCUGGGGAGUACGGUCGCAAGACUAAAACUCAAAGGAAUUGACGGGGGCCCGCACAAGCGGUGGAGCAUGUGGUUUAAUUCGAUCAACGCGCAGAACCUUACCUGGGUUUAAACUGCAGUGGACCGGUGCAGAGAUGUAUCUUCCCUUCGGGGCUGCUGUAGAGGUGCUGCAUGGCUGUCGUCAGCUCGUGUCG